rnacentral:lncRNA from 1 species
CCGUAGAGGAUUCUGUUUCAAGAAAAAAUUAGUUCCUAACUACAACAUAUGUCGGAGAUCAUUCUAUUGGAGGUUCAGAAUGAUACUAGGUCUCAAAAGAUAACUAACUUUGAAAUCAUAUGAAAUAUACUCAUUAUCAAUAUGUUUCAAUGAUUAUUUCAAUUGGCUAGAUUUGAAAAGAGAUUAACUCCAGACUAUAAUAUACCGUAAACAAACAUGCA